AAGACUAUACUUUCUGGGAUUAUUUUUAUAGCGCUUAACUAGGAAAUGUGUUUCAGAAAUGUUGUGUUUUCUAAACCACAAUGAUGAAUUUCGAUACUGUUUUCUUAGCGUGAAUUAUUUGUAGAGUAAUGAUUCAUUUCCUAUGCUUUACAUCAUUGAUGAAGGUUUCUUAUUGCAGCGAAGAGGAAAAGAGUCUUUCUUUAAAUUAUGGU
rnacentral:snoRNA from 1 species